AGCAGCCGCGGUAAUUCCAGCUCCAAUAGCGUAUAUUAAAGUUGUUGCAGUUAAAAAGCUCGUAGUUGAAUUUCGGGGUUAGUAGGUUGGUCGUGCCACUGGUACGUACUGGUCUCACUGACUCCUCCUUCCUGAUGAACUGUAAUGCCAUUAAUUUGGUGUUGCGGGAAACUGGACUGUUACUUUGAAAAAUUAGAGUGUUUAAAGCAAGCUAACGCUUGAAUACAUUAGCAUGGAAUAAUGAAAUAGGACGUUCGAUCCUAUUUUGUGUUUCAGGAUUGACGUAAUGAUUAAUAGGGAUAGUU
rnacentral:rRNA from 1 species